rnacentral:rRNA from 1 species
GUGGGGAAUAUUGGACAAUGGGCGAAAGCCUGAUCCAGCCAUGCCGCGUGUGUGAAGAAGGUCUUCGGAUUGUAAAGCACUUUAAGUUGGGAGGAAGGGCAGUAAGUUAAUACCUUGCUGUUUUGACGUUACCGACAGAAUAAGCACCGGCUAACUUCGUGCCAGCAGCCGCGGUAAUACGAAGGGUGCAAGCGUUAAUCGGAAUUACUGGGCGUAAAGCGCGCGUAGGUGGUUUUGUAAGUUGGAGGUGAAAUCACCGGGCUUAACGUGGGAACUGCCUCCAAAGCUGCAUGACUAGAGUACGGUAGAGGGGAGUGGAAUUUCCUGUGUAGCGGUGAAAUGCGUAGAUAUAGGAAGGAACACCAGUGGCGAAGGCGACUACCUGGACUGAUACUGACACUGAGGUGCGAAAGCGUGGGGAGCAAACAGGAUUAGAUACCCCUGUAGUCC